UUGAAUUUUAAUCGGUUUUCAUUAAUAAAUUCAAGAAAAUCGUUCAUUUUUGAAAAAGAUUUUUAAAAUAUUUUCAAAUAUUUAUAUUUAGAAAAGGAAAUCUUUUUUUAAAGAUUCUUAUGUUUCAUUUUGAAAUGGGACGAGUUUAGAAGAAUACAGUUUUCUGUAAGAUUGUCCAACGUGUCAGAUGGUAUUGAAUCGUAGAAAAACUCAAAUUUUUGUAAAAGGUUUUUUAAAACAUUUUCAAAUACACAUACACACACACACCUGGAAAUAUUUAAAAGAUUUUUUUCAUUUAUUUGGGUUUUAAAGUAAAAAAUAAAAAACUUUAACUUUAUUCUAAAAUUUCAAAACUAUGAAAAACAAUUAAUAGAAAAUUUAAAUUUGAAACUAUAUUUUGUUAAGAAAUUUUAUUUUAUAGAAGAUUUCACAAUAACCUUUAGCUAAUUACCGAAAUAUUAACAAGAAUUUUGAAAUUUUAUAAAAUUAAAUUCUUUAAAGAUUUUUUAAAUAUAAAUUUUGAUAACUUUAUUGCCAAGGCAGCUACAUAGAAUCCUAGAUAUAAACUCCUUUGCUAAAAUCACUGACAAAGAGAUAAUAUGAUUUAAGAAAUUGAAACAUGAAAAAUUAUGAAAAUUUCAACGAAAAGAAGCGAUGAAUAACUGAUGUCAAGAGUUAAACUUAUCUUAACUCUUAUUACUUUAAAAAAAAAAUAAUUAAUUUUGAAAACAAAUAUGAAAAAAUAAUGGCCAAUUGAAAUAAACAUUAAUUAUAUAUUAAAAAAAUACAUACACAUUACACAAUUACCCAGGAAAACUUGUACAAGUUUUUUUAAUUAGUUCCAGAACUUAUCCAUAUAACACUUCUACUAGAUGGGUGUUAUGAUCAGAACUAGAAUUCGUUGGAAGCGUUAGUUAAACGACAUUCGCUAAUUCCUUCGGACUGCAAUUAUUUUAUCAAUGAUUUUUGGAUUAAAUCUGUUGAGACAGCUUUCGGCUCGGUUAAAGGUUUCGUUGAAUAUCUUGAGCAUGAUCAAGAAUCAGUAGCCUUCGUUGACUUCGAAGGGGCUUAUUAAACGAGGUUUAUUAAACGAUUUCUCUAUGAACAUUGUUAUUAUUUACAGAGGGGAAACACCAGACACACUACAAGCGAAUUUCUAUUAUCUCUACUCUGGAAUCUUAUCAAUAAUUCUCUAUUAAUGAAGAUAAAUUCAAUAAAGUGCCAGUGUUUCUUAAUACCUUCAAUCUUUCCUUCAAUGACUUUGUCAUUGCAGCCAAGAAGUUUCGCUAUUUAUCUAGGUAAAACUGAACUCUCUGAGACAGUCCAGAUUAUGGAAAAGAUCUCUACUAAGACUAAGAGUAGUCUGUGCUCUUGUAAGGUUGGGUCGUCACAUAGAGAGUGUUGUACCGAUUCCUUUUCUUUUUUCGUUUAACAUCUUCUACAGUAGCUAUAACGUGGGUUGUCCAUACGUUUCGACAUUUACUCAAUCAUACAGUGCUCGGUAGUUAUACCAGUGAGAAGCCUAAUCCUUUUCUUUUUCCUUUUAACAUCUUCUACAGUAGCUAUAACGACAUUUAUCCAAUCAUACUGUGUUCAGUAAUUAUACCAGUUCCUACUAAGAGACAAGGGAAUCCUAGUCGCAUCCAAUGUCACAGUAGGUCAGAGCAGUCUAAAUAUUCUACAAGUUCGACCUGCGUUAUUACUCAUUCAUAGCUCCGCCAUCUAUCAGUUUUGAUAGAGUCAACAGGGGAGUGUGUAUACCCCGGAUGACUCUUUUGGUUGCGCAUUUAUCAGAUAUUUUAUUGCCUUUGAGCGAUUAGUGAAAAUUCAGGCCACGUUAUCUCAAAGGAAUAUCAAUCAUCCCUUGUCGGUAUUUUAAUCUUAAAAGACCACUGAGCUGGGGGUCCAAAUCGACUGUUUAAGUCGCAUAGCAGAUUUAGCAAAAAUGCCUUUGGUGUAUAUGUAUACAAGGCUUAUAAAGCCAGUGAUUGCCAGGCAUGCUAAUCUGUGUACUUUGUGGAGAGUAGAGGAGUAAAUCUUGGUAUCCACCGUUCUGCACCAAACAAGAGCUCCGUAUGUCAAAAUAGGUCUUAUGACCGCAUUGAACAUCCAGUGUAAAAUGUAAGUUUUAAAACCCCACCUUAUCCUAAAGGCUUUCUCACAUAUAUAAAAGGCAAAUAGUGCGUUCUUUAUUAGACUUUCAGCAUAACAUUUUCAUAUGAGCUUAGGUCUAAAAUUAGGUCAUGAUAUUUGGCUUCGUUUUAAGGAAUUCACGCGAAAAGUUCUGAAUUCUGGGAUUUUGGUAUAAAUAAUCAGUUUGGUAUUUGCAGGGACACCUAUUUCUUUUGAAUAAAAAGCAUAACGUCGGCAUAUGCUGUUACUUUAAAGCCCAUCCUACUGAGUUUGAAAAUGACUUUAGGGCUUGAUGGAUGACACCCCAACCAAAUGUCUUACACACUAACAUUGGAUCUAAUUCACUUAUGUGGAUUUAAAAAGCUGUGAUGUGCUCCAAAGUAGAUCCUCCAUUUUCAUAAUCUAUGCAAACCGAAAGUGUGUCAUCAAAAGGGGUUCCACAGUUUCGGUACUACUUUCAUUAAACUUACCAUCUGGUUUCCUCAAGAAUCAAGAAACAAUCGUCCCAGCUUAACUGGCCUUAAUCCCUCGUAGCCUUAAUAAAUCGUCCAUGGUCGCCGGAAUUUCUUAGGAACCUGCCGAUCCCUACAAGCAUACCAGCAAAGAAGGCUUUCCUUAAAGUCCUGAAUAAAUAAUCUAACAGUAAUUCUCAGAUUAAUGAAUUAUUCACUUAGCUCACAUUGAAGGUGCCAAACCGGCCUAAUGAUAGUCUGCCCAUUUGUUUACCUAGAUGAUAAAAUUGUAACUUCAAUAGUUUUACAGAAAAACAAAUUUUAGUAUUUAAUUCUUAUGUAAUGUGCCACGUCUCCAAUUGCUAGUCCGUCUAGCAGUUGAGGCUAAUGAUAUUUAUUCAAAACUGUUAACUACUCAACUCACUUUAUUAAAGCGUUGGGUAAUCUAAACUUGUACUAAAAAAUAUUGCUAGAAUCAGUUCUUUAUUAAAUGAUUUUAUAAUGAAUUUGUCACACUCGGAACUAGUUUUAGGGAAGCUUCAUAUAACUUCUUCAAUUAGUAAUCAGUUUAAUGUUCAGAAACUCAGUUUUCUUCCAUUCAGUGCUUGUGAGAAAAAUUUUUUCCUGAAUAAUAUCAUUCCCAAAAUACUUAGAUCUAACUUCCACGAAUGACUGACAGUGGCAGAAAAAGUGCUUCAGAGUUUCAAUGUUAUCCUCACAUGCUCUACAUUCAUCUAAAUCCGCACGUCUUAUUCUGUGACCGUAAUCCUGUGGGUCCGCACAUAAUACCUACCAUUAUACAAAUCUCAGUUUUGAUCAUUUUGAGAAGAUUUCUCAUCUUGCUCUUAUCAGGAUCACCCACAGGAUCUUUGCGGUUCUACCCACUGUUUCAUUAUUCCAAGAGGAUUUAUGGAAUUCUCUCACUCAUAUUUUUAAAUCAGCUUACGCUGCAUCGAAAGGUUUUGCCUUUGUCAGGUUAAAUACCUUGAGCUCCCUUCCCUUUAAAGCUUGUACAUUAGCCCUUUCGUUGCCGACACUCCCAAGUGACCCAUAUGACGUAAACCUUGCCUCAGGGAGGUUAAAACUUUCUUACAUUCAAAUAUGGUUUUAGAUAUAAUUUUAUCACCUCAUAUUUCCCCGAUUGACUUGAAGCUGUCAGUAAAUACAUGAAGCCCUGUGGGUGCCGUUUUUUCGGACUGUCUAAAAGCUUCUGUAAUGAUUAGUUACACUGUAGUAUAUUUCUGUUUCUGGGUCUUCAGUAUACAACCCAGGUACUUAUUGUCCCCUAAUUUAUAGCAUUCCGUGCAGCAACGGACUCCUACUUUAUAUGCUCGAAAGCCUCGCUUGACGUAAACAUUCUAUCUGAGAUUAACUUCCAAAGCUUUUGACAUAUUCUCAUCUGGUAUGCGAUCGGGCACGUUGGAUGAUUGUAUAGCACCUUCUAGUAUACAUUAAUUACGUGUUCUAUAACAGCUUUUGGCCAGUUCGCCUAAAGUAAAGAGCAUUUCGGCUAUAAGCGCCGCCUCAUAUCUUAAAUAUGUUGCAAUGGGUGUAAUAUCUAGCAACCUUUCAAGAGCCUUGGUUGACGUAAUAUUAAACUCCUAGUAGUAGUUUGAUAUUACACUUUUUGUCCAAAGUUGUCCACCAGUUUAUUAAAGCAUAAGAAAUAAUUGCUGUUAUUAUACUUUUAUGAUGCCAAUUUGUCAGUAAGAAUAAGAACCAAUUUCAUGCCUAUAGUCCUCCUUUAUAUCGUCCUGUUCCGAUAUGCCUUGUUGUUCCUAUUCUGUAUGUGGUGUCAAAGAUUACACCGAAGUACUUAACUUUGUCUGUUACCGGUUUUUUCUUGCCCAGAAAGCAUGAUUAAGUAUUCGUAUACAUUUUUCACUUUUUUGUGAAAAGAUAGAUUUCCAUCUUCGAGGGUUAACAUUGAGGCCUCUCGGUUGAGAACAGCUAAAGGUCGUAUUGGGAGACUUCUCAGCUCUUCUACACAAGUAAUUGGAUAUUUUUCCUUUAAAAGUAUUAAGGCAUCGUUUGCGAAGCAGACACGUCUAAAUCCUUUUUGAGUUAGCGAACUUCGUGGUAAUCGCGAAAUACCUUUUUCCUGAUAGUUACGUAGAUCUCGAUGCUUAUCCACCUUUUUCUUAGCAUGUAGUUUAUCCAGUUACUAGGUUUCGAAUCACAACAAUGCUUCAUAGAACGGGUUCUAAAAGUACUUCACAAUCACAACAAUGUCCCAAAGAAUGAGUUAAAGAGACUUGUGCCAACUUGUGCUAGGAACUAAUUCUUUAAAAACCUCCUAAGAAAUUUCAUUGUAAUCACAAUAAUGUUUUACAGAAUGGGUUCAAGAAGUAAAAAAUCCUUAGAAAUACUUGAGAAUCAUAAUAUUGUUCCAAAGAAUGAGUUAAAGAAGUAAUGGUGACAUCACUAGUGCCAACUAUUGCUUAAGAAAUAGUUCUAUGAAAAUCAUUGAACCACAAUAAUGUUUUGUAGAAAGAGUUCAAGAAUUAAAGUAUUUCUUAAAGUAGUCUUUAGAAAUACUUCUUUGAAUCACAAUUAAAUACCAGAAAAUGAACUAAAGAAGGUUUUAUCCCAAGUUACAGUUCUUUAAUCUAAAGUGUUUCUGUUUAAAGUUGUUGUAGAACUAAUUAGUUUGUUAGAAAUUUGUUAAUAUGUUUUCCUGGGAAAUUUCAAUUUCUCACUAAUUUUUCAAUAAAUUCUUUUAAAAUUCUCUUACAUAUUUUAUACUUUGUUUUAUAAAUUUAUGUUAAAAAGAAAACUAAAUAAAAUUUAUUUUUAAUUCAA